UGUCUCCCCCUGUCCCCCAGGUUUGGGCUGUGGCACUACAGGGGGGUCUGUGAGCCGAGGCGUGGUCGACCUCCUGCAUCGGACAUCGGGUGGCCCCCUUCCGCGGCAGCGACGGUUCUAGGCUCUCGCCUCUGGGUGGCGGAAACGUAGCCUUCUUUGGAGGCUGCUCCCCCGCUUCCCCGCCCCUCCCCCAGCGCAGCCGAGACGCCGGCGAUCUGCGCAGCCUCCGCUGUGACUCCCCUUCUUCCUCCCUGCGGAGACCCGCACCGCCUCAGCCUCUCGCUGUGGGCCUCCACCCGGGCUCCGGAGCCCAAUCCCCGGUCUCCCCGUCCACGGGUGUUUUCGGGAGCGGUCUGGGCACCAUCAUCGGUUCUGACUCCAGGAUCCUGGCGUGUUGUCAAUAGCAGUUUUUGAAACCACUUCUGCAGGAGGUGAGCAUGCAGAGCUCUGCCGAGAUGAAGACGAAGGAUCAGCCUUGCAGCUGGAAACAGUGCUGAACUCGCUGCCUGGGCGACACCCCCCGCCCCUAGGACCGGGACUGCGUCACAGAGACUGCUGCCCAGGCGGCCUAGAGAGUUUCAGAUAUUUAAGGAUUUCGUGCAUUUAGAGGGGCCAUAUAUCCUGGAUAAGUGGAAAAUUGUGCAGACGUCCUCUGGAAGACCUUCAUUCUAAGCAGCUUUAUAGGAAACCUUUCAUUUUGAAGUCCGGACCUUUUUUCUUCAGCUCGCUGUAAUCUCUGUUCACCAAAGUAGAACCUGUAUUGAUUAUUGGGACCCAGUGUGCUCCAGGUUUCUGGAUUGACUAGAUAUCAGGCGCAAGACCUACAGGAGCCCCAGUACUUCUAGCUCCACGAAAUACGAAGAGGGGAAUCAGGUUUGACUGCUUCUUGGAACAUCAUCGAAGAUCUGGUGGAACGUGGUGGCGGUGCACACCUGGGGUCUGGAAGGAGAGAAGAGCAGAUCUGCAACGCACACGUGUCAAGAGAAUAGAUCUUAAGCCCUCUUGCUACACGCAGAAAAGGUAACUGUGUGAGGUGACGGAUGCAUUCAAAUUAACUUAAUUGUGGUCGUCCUUUCUGUGUCUACAUAUAUCAAAUAGUGUUUCCCACUUUGACUAUAUACAAUUUUAUUUGUCCAUUAUAAUUAAAGCUGGGAAAAAUUAAAAAUACAGUGUCAGACCCAUCGAUUGAUGGUUCUGUUGAGUUAAACCAUAUCCUUACUGAUUUUCUGUCUACCGGAUCUGUCUCUUACUAACAGAGGGAGUGUUGAAAUCCCUCACAUUAGUAGUGGAUUAUCUGCUUCUCUCUGCAUUUUUUUAUCACCUUUUGCCUCUUGUAUUUUGACGCUUUGUUGUAAGGUGCAUAAUUUCCGAGAUUAUUGUGUCUUCUCGGAGAAUUGACCCCUUGUUAUGUAAUAACCUUUUCUACCCCUGCUAAGUUUCCUUGGCCUAUUGCCCUUUUGGGUCGGAAAUUCACAUAGCUACUCCAGCUUUCUUUUGAUUUGUGCGAGCACGGUACACCUUUCCCCACUGUUUUACUUUUAAUCUAUAUGUGUUUUUCUAUUUAAAUUGGGUUUCUUAUCGACACCACAUAGCCGGUGUCGUUUUUCAUCUGCCCUUACGGUCACUUCUUGCAAUUGGCGUGUGUAGACCACUACCUUUUUAAGUGAUCGCUGACAGUUGGAUUUGCAUCCACCAUGUUUGUGAAAGUGUUGUACCUGCUGCACUUAUUCUUUGUGUUCUUUUUAAUCUUCCUGUUUCUGCCCUCUCUUUUAAUUGAGCAUUUUUUAUUAUUCCACUUUCUCUUUUCCCUCAGUGUAUCAGUCAUAUUUCUCUUUAACUUUUUGGUGGUUUCCCUAGACAUGGACUGCGCAACAUAAAUUUACGACCAAUCCAGGUCCACCUUCAGAUACCCCUGCAGCGCAAGCAUAACAGACUCCCCAGCGUCUCAGUCCCUUCCCUUCCUAACACCUGCUGCCGUUUACGCACUGCCCUCCCUGCUAGUAGCGCCCAGUACACUGUGGCCCGUAUUCCUUUGAACAGUCGUCCAUUAGACUAAAUAAGAAUAAGAAAAAUAAAAUACGUGACUUUAA